rnacentral:ncRNA from 1 species
AACUCUGGAGAGCGGUGCCCGUACGCGGCACCCACCGAAGGGGCUAACGGCGAGAUUCGCUUCGCCGGAAAAUCUCAGGUGACCGGACAGAGGGGU